AUACGUAGGGGGCGAGCGUUGUCCGGAAUCAUUGGGCGUAAAGGGCGCGCAGGCGGCGAGGCAAGUCCGGUGUGAAAGUGCUCGGCUCAACCGAGUGAUGCGCUGGAAACUGCCCUGCUUGAGUACUGGAGGGGACGUCGGAAUUCCAGGUGUAGGGGUGAAAUCUGUAGAUAUCUGGAAGAACACCGGUGGCGAAGGCGGACGUCUGGCCAUGCACUGACGCUGAGGCGCGAAGGUGCGGGGAGCGAACAGGUUUAGAUACCCUGGUAGUCCGCACAGUAAACGAUGUGCACCAGGUGGCGGGGGGUAGCCCUCGGUACCGAAGCCAACGCAUUAAGUGCACCGCCUGGGGAGUAUGCUCGCAAGGGUGAAACUCAAAGGAAUUGACGGGG
rnacentral:rRNA from 1 species